rnacentral:misc_RNA from 1 species
UAACUUCUUAGAGUUAACUACUGCUUGCGUUGAAAUUAUUUCCCGAGUUAAUGAUGAGGAAUCCAGUGUACAGGACCUGGUCUGCAAGACAUUUUAUGAGUUUUGGUUUGAAGAACCUUCUGGUUCACAACAUCAUUAUUUCGGAGAUGGAAGUUCUGUUCCACUUGAGGUGGCUAAGAAAACAGAGCAAAUUGUUCAGAUGCUGAGAAGGAUGCCCAGUCUUCAACUUCUUGUAACUGUGAUUAAACGCAACUUAGCCCUUGAUUUCUUUUCACAAUCUGCUAAAGCUGUCGGUAUCAACCCCG